GAUGACUGGAUCUUCAGAAGACAUGCCAUUGAAUGGUACUAGAAAAAAGAUCGAAGGUUCUGCUGCAAAUUUGGAAGGCAUUGAUUAUGCUCAGGCUCCAUCUACCCCUGGAUUAAUGGAAGAGCCAAAUGUGUCCAGUGUCAAGGAAGGUCUGGUCAGUGAUGAUCAUUUAGAGCCAGAAGAUCAGAAUUUAAGAGAAUUUGUACAAAUAGAGGGCUUUGAAAAUGCUUCCAGUAAGUCAGACCUUCAUCACAGGGAUGAUGCAAUGGAUUCUGCUUUAGGUGCUCAUUUAAAUCAUUAUUCUAUUGUGUGUGCACCUGCUGAGGGUAGCAGCCGCCCAUAUGUUGAAUUGGAGGUCAAUCAAACAAGAGUGGAGGGAGAUUUACUUUCUACUUCAGUGACUACAGAACAUGAUCCAGCAGAUGGGACUGUUGACGUACUGGAUGGUUUGGAC
rnacentral:misc_RNA from 1 species